UUCACAAUUCUUUUCCCUUUCUACCCUUUUCUCCCUUCAACACCACUGUAAAUUUUCUUUUCCCUUUCUACAUCGACGUUCCCAAUCCUCCCAACCGACGAAUCACAAUCGUUCCCUUUUGCCCUUCCCAUUAAAGAGAUGUAAACGGGAGUGAGAGAUAUAAGGAUCAGCUGGUGGUUUCUGGUAGGCUUUUGGCGGCACCCGGGGUUGAUGCCUCCGAUUUCUUUGGCUCCCAUAUGGUUCUCCAGACGCAUAAGAGCCAUAUGGUUCUCUAGACGCAGAAGAGGAAGAGUAAGAUUCGAGAGCUGACUCUUCGAGAAAUUAGCGACAUUAAGGUAUAAUUUGAUUGCAUAUACAGUUGAUUAGGGAAUUAUCUUCCUAUUGUCCUUGUAUAUAUGCUAUUUUAGCCAUCACUAUCAUCUUCUUCGGCAGCAAUUUCGUUAGCAUGAAAUUAGUUUAUUCGAUUGGUAGCAGGUGGCAGAACAUAGGUGAAUCUAUACCUCUCUUGCUCUCUGAUUUGGUUUUCUUUUCAAACCCCAAUUUUGCCCUCUUUCUCUCAAUUUUGUUGGUAGAGCAUCCAUUGCACAACAGCUUGAUGCAUAAAAACAACGUAAAAACACCCUAGGUACAAGAGGCGCGCUCCUCAGGUCAGAAAAACUGUCCAAAAUUGCUCUUAUUGGCGCUUCUUGUAAGAAGCGCGCCUCGGGAUAUUAAAGGCGCCAAGGCUUGCGCCUCGCACGUCAGGCGCGGUUUUUAAAACCCAGAAUAGGAUGUGGUGUUAUAGAAGGGUUUUAGAAGGAAUAGAUUGUUCCGCAACCCACACCCUGAAUUUCAUUAUAUAACCGAAUUCCAAAGUCAUGAGCCAAAGAUAUGCAUUAUCUCAAUUUUUUUCUUGUAACAAAAUUAGAUUCCUUGUGGUUCGUUUCAUGUGAAUUAACUCUACUGUUGGUGCUUGUAUCUUCGGUUUGACUAUCUGAAGAGCUUGGAAAUUGAGGAGAAUAUCAACAAGAUCAGAUGGUGUUAAGGAACUAACAACGCCAUGUUUUUGCUGACCUUUAAUUAUAAAACUCUAAAAUUCUUUAAGAAAAUGGUGGAGCGGUGCUGGGUCGAUUAAGGCGCACGUGGUUGGUUCCAAUGACCCUUGAUUCAUAUAUCUGGUUGUAGGUCAACUUAUGGAUAGAUAUGGAGAUUGAUAGUUGAUGUUUCUGUUGAAAUGGGCGUUUUUCGGCGAAUGGUGAGAUCAGUAGGUUCAAAGUGACUAUGGUGAGGGUUUCGGGUGAUCAACCAACAUUUCAGUAAAAAAGAUUUAACUCAGGUCAGCGGACGGUAAUCAGGAAUGUAUAAAUGUACACUCAACUCGUUUAGAUAAUUUAAUAUAAGUAUCACCAACCUCUAUUCAACGAGGUGCGUUAAGGUUGUACACUGUUGAAACCGAGAGAAAAGGGAAAGGCUAUAGUUGAUACGGGUAUUAUUCAGGUUAGUUUAUUGGGUUUUUCUGGUUAAUCGGGUCUGGUUAAUCAGGUUUCUAAAAUUUAGUAUUAAAAUCGAUGUCUGGCCCCGUAUGUUUAUUCAGUUAGUCAGGUUCAGGUUUUUGGCUUUCAGGUUAAACGGGUCAAAAAAAUAUGCAUGUAUUCUUGAAAUAACAAGUCAGAAUAGGUUUGGCUUGGGCUGACCCGUCAAAUUUUCAAACCCGUCACCAAAGAACUCACGCCCUCCCAAUACCAUGCUAACCAACACUUUCACUGAGCACCACUAUGUUCAACACAAGUAUAUCAACUGUAUUACUUUAUUUGUUUUUGAAUUCUUAAAAUAUGUUUAUUCGCAGAGUUGAUGGUAUGCAUAAGUUUUCGCGUGGGAUAAAGAGGUGCAAUAAUUGUCACAAAUUUAUUUUGCUUAAUUUUGUACAUUUUGUUGCAUUAAGUUAUUAUUUGAAUGAUAUAACGUCAAGCCACACUCCAAUUUUUUAAUUUUUUUUAUCAUAGACUGAAGCUACAGCAAAGAGGGCACUAGCGCUUGAUGGGUCGGAUAUGUGAGUGACUCAACUAUGUCUUAAGAUAAUGAUUGUUACAGAUACAAAUAGCAAAAUGGGCACGCCCGAUAUCAUGGUCAAAAGGGGUCUGGGUCAAAUGCAUACUUUUCCAUAUGGUAAAACGAGUCUCGUUUAGUUGCAGGUAAUGAAAAAGUGGUGUUUACGCAGUCUACCUACAUGUUCAAUCAUUGCGUGGGUUAUUGCUACAAUUCAUGUAUUCUGGAUAAUAACUUAAGUGGCAAGAUCAACAGGCCAGACAGGUCGAGGCUUGAUAAACUAACAUCAAUGUGUAUCGCAAUGCAAAUUGUCACCACCGCUGCAUCGCGCGGGUUUCCUACUAGUAACUAUAUGGUGUAUAACCAUUAAAUAGGUGAAGACCAACAAGAAGCAACCAAACCAUUAAAUAUGUCAAGGUCUGGCCGAAAGUUUUUUUUAGCUAAAUAUCUUUUUUCUUAUUUGAUCAUUGAAGUUCAAAUAUUUUAUAUAAACAUAUUAUAAGA